CGGCCCAGACUCCUACGGGAGGCAGCAGUAGGGAAUCUUCCGCAAUGGACGAAAGUCUGACGGAGCAACGCCGCGUGAGUGAUGAAGGCCUUCGGGUCGUAAAGCUCUGUUGUUAGGGAAGAACAAGUACCGUUCAAAUAGGGCGGUACCAUGACGGUACCUAACCAGAAAGCCACGGCUAACUACGUGCCAGCAGCCGCGGUAAUACGUAGGUGGCAAGCGUUGUCCGGAAUUAUUGGGCGUAAAGGGCUCGCAGGCGGUUCCUUAAGUCUGAUGUGAAAGCCCACGGCUCAACCGUGGAGGGUCAUUGGAAACUGGGGAACUUGAGUACAGAAGAGGAGAGUGGAAUUCCACGUGUAGCGGUGAAAUGCGUAGAGAUGUGGAGGAACACCAGUGGCGAAGGCGACUCUCUGGUCUGUAACUGACGCUGAGGAGCGAAAGCGUGGGGAGCGAACAGGAUUAGAUACCCUGGUAGUCCACGCCGUAAACGAUGAGUGCUAAGUGUUAGAGGGUUUCCGCCCUUUAGUGCUGCAGCAAACGCAUUAAGCACUCCGCCUGGGGAGUACGGUCGCAAGACUGAAACUCAAAGGAAUUGACGGGGGCCCGCACAAGCGGUGGAGCAUGUGGUUUAAUUCGAAGCAACGCGAAGAACCUUACCAGGUCUUGACAUCCCAUGACAACUCUAGAGAUAGAGCGUUCCCCUUCGGGGGACAUGGUGACAGGUGGUGCAUGGUUGUCGUCAGCUCGUGUCGUGAGAUGUUGGGUUAAGUCCCGCAACGAGCGCAACCCUUGAUCUUAGUUGCCAGCAUUUAGUUGGGCACUCUAAGGUGACUGCCGGUGACAAACCGGAGGAAGGUGGGGAUGACGUCAAAUCAUCAUGCCCCUUAUGACCUGGGCUACACACGUGCUACAAUGGAUGGUACAAAGGGCUGCGAGACUGCGAAGUUAAGCGAAUCCCAUAAAACCAUUCUCAGUUCGGAUUGCAGGCUGCAACUCGCCUGCAUGAAGCUGGAAUCGCUAGUAAUCGUGGAUCAGCAUGCCACGGUGAAUACGUUCCCGGGCCUUGUACACACCGCCCGUCACACCACGAGAGUUUGUAACACCCGAAGUCGGUGGAGUAACC
rnacentral:rRNA from 2 species